rnacentral:rRNA from 1 species
GACGAACGCUGGCGGCGUGCCUAACACAUGCAAGCCGAGCGAUGAAGUUCUUCGGAACGGAUUAGCGGCGGACGGGUGAGUAACGCGUGAGCAAUCUGCCUUACACAAAGGGAUAGCCUCGGGAAACUGGGAUUAAUACCAUAUGACACUUGGUAAUCGCAUGAGGACCAAGUCAAAGAUUUUAUCGGUGUAAGAUGAGCUCGCGUCUGAUUAGCUAGUUGGUGGGUAAAGGCCUACCAAGGCGACGAUCAGUAGCCGGCCUGAGAGGGUGAACGGCCACACUGGAACUGAGACACGGUCCAGACUCCUACGGGAGGCAGCAGUGGGGAAUAUUGCACAAUGGGCGCAAGCCUGAUGCAGCGACGCCGCGUGAGCGAAGAAGGUUUUCGGAUCGUAAAGCUCUGUCCUCUGGGAAGAAAAAAUGACGGUACCAGAGGAGGAAGCCCCGGCGUAACUACGUGCCCAGCAGCCGCGGUAACACCACAUAGU